GAUGAACGCUGGCGGCGUGCCUAAUACAUGCAAGUCGAGCGAACAGAUGAGGAUCUUGCUCCGCUGACGUGAGCGGCGGACGGGUGAUUAACACGUGUAUAACCUACCUAUAAGACUGAGAUAACGUCGGGAAAGCGGAGCUAAUACCGGAUAAGAUAUUGAACCGCAGGGUUCAAUAGUGAAAGACGGUUUUGCUGUCACUAAUAGAUGGAUCCGCGCCGCUUGAGUGAGUUGGUAAGGUAACGGCUUACCAAGGCAACGAUGCGUAGCGGACCUGAGAGGGUGAUCGGCAACACUGAAACUGAGACACGGUCAAGACUCCAACGGGAGGAAGAAGUAGGAAAUCUGGAGCAAUGGGCGAAAGCCUGACGGAGCAACGCCGCGUGAGUGAUGAAGGUCUCCGGAUCGUAAAACUCUGUUAUUAGGGAAGAACAAAUGUGUAAGUAACUAUGCAGGUCUGGCGGGUACAUAAGAAGAAAGCCACGGCUAACUCCGU
rnacentral:rRNA from 1 species